rnacentral:rRNA from 1 species
GACAGAGGGUGCAAACGUUGUUCGGAAUUACUGGGCGUAAAGCGCGUGUAGGCGGCUAUGCAAGUCGGAUGUGAAAUCCCUCGGCUUAACCGGGGAACUGCGUCUGAUACUGGAUGGCUUGAGUUUGGGAGAGGGACGCGGAAUUCCAGGUGUAGCGGUGAAAUGCGUAGAUAUCGAGAGGAACACCUGCGGCGAAGGCGGGUUGCUGGGCUGACACUGACGCUGAUGCGCGAAGCUAGGGGAGCGAACGGGA